GAUGAACGCUGGCGGCGUGCCUAAUACAUGCAAGUCGAGCGAACAGACGAGGAGCUUGCUCCUCUGACGUUAGCGGCGGACGGGUGAGUAACACGUGGAUAACCUACCUAUAAGACUGGGAUAACUUCGGGAAACCGGAGCUAAUACCGGAUAAUAUAUUGAACCGCAUGGUUCAAUAGUGAAAGACGGUUUUGCUGUCACUUAUAGAUGGAUCCGCGCCGCAUUAGCUAGUUGGUAAGGUAACGGCUUACCAAGGCAACGAUGCGUAGCCGACCUGAGAGGGUGAUCGGCCACACUGGAACUGAGACACGGUCCAGACUCCUACGGGAGGCAGCAGUAGGGAAUCUUCCGCAGUGGGCGAAAGCCUUACGGAGCAACGCCGCGUGAGUGAUGAAGGUCUUCGGAUCGUAAAACUCUGUUAUUAGGGAAGAACAAAUGUGUAAGUAACUAUGCACGUCUUGACGGUACCUAAUCAGAAAGCCACGGCUAACUACGUG
rnacentral:rRNA from 1 species